rnacentral:lncRNA from 1 species
ACAGCAGUAAAAGUGUGAGAGAAGGAAGAGAAAAAGAGCAAUUUGCCUAAGAGGCAAAAGUGUGGAUUAAUGCCCACCUACUGCCUUUUAUUUUUGUCUUGGCUGCCUGUGAGCUCAUUGUGAAAAUUAGUUUUCACUUUUAUUAAUUUCCUGAUCUAUGGUUCCUCAUAUAAUCAUGUUCUAUAUUUGUUCAUUUAAUUACUGAGUUCCCACUUAUCUUUAGUUUUAA